rnacentral:rRNA from 1 species
UACGGAGGGUGCGAGCGUUGUCCGGAAUCACUGGGCGUAAAGGGCGCGUAGGUGGCGCGGGAAGUCAACGGUGAAAGUUCGGGGCUCAACCCUGAAUCGGCCGUCGAUACUCCCGGGCUCGAGCACUGUAGAGGCAGAUGGAAUUCCGGGUGUAGCGGUGGAAUGCGUAGAGAUCCGGAAGAACAUCGGUGGCGAAGGCGGUCUGCUGGGCAGUUGCUGACACUGAGGCGCGACAGCGUGGGGAGCAAACAGG